rnacentral:rRNA from 1 species
GAUGAACGCUGGCGGCGUGCCUAAUACAUGCAAGUCGAGCGAACAGAUGAGGAGCUUGCUCCUCUGACGUUAGCGGCGGACGGGUGAGUAACACGUGGAUAACCUACCUAUAAGACUGGGAUAACUUCGGGAAACCGGAGCUAAUACCGGAUAAUAUAUUGAACCGCAUGGUUCAAUAGUGAAAGACGGUUUUGCUGUCACUUAUAGAUGGAUCCGCGCCGCAUUAGCUAGUUGGUAAGGUAACGGCUUACCAAGGCAACGAUGCGUAGCCGACCUGAGAGGGUGAUCGGCCACACUGGAACUGAGACACGGUCCAGACUCCUACGGGGGGCAGCAGUAGGGAAUCUUCCGCAAUGGGCGAAAGCUUGACGGAGCAACGCCGCGUGAGUGAUGAAGGUCUUCGGAUCGUAAAACUCUGUUAUUAGGGAAGAACAAAUGUGUAAGUAACUAUGCACGUCUUGACGGUACCUAAUCAGAAAGCCACGGCUAACUACGUG